GAUGAACGCUGGCGGCGUGCUUAACACAUGCAAGUCGAACGGAAAGGCCCUUGCUUGCAGGGGUACUCGAGUGGCGAACGGGUGAGUAACACGUGGGUGAUCUGCCCUGCACUUCGGGAUAAGCCUGGGAAACUGGGUCUAAUACCGGAUAGGACCAUCGUUUAGUGUCGGUGGUGGAAAGUUUUUUCGGUGUGGGAUGAGCUCGCGGCCUAUCAGCUUGUUGGUGGGGUAAUGGCCUACCAAGGCGUCGACGGGUAGCCGGCCUGAGCGGGUGUACGGCCACAUUGGGACUGAGAUACGGCCCAGACUCCUACGGGAGGCAGCAGUGGGGAAUAUUGCACAAUGGGCGCAAGCCUGAUGCAGCGACGCCGCGUGGGGGAUGACGGCCUUCGGGUUGUAAACUCCUUUCGUCAGGGACGAAGCGAAAGUGACGGUACCUGGAUAAGAAGCACCGGCUAACUACGUG
rnacentral:rRNA from 1 species